rnacentral:rRNA from 1 species
AUUGAACGCUGGCGGCAUGCCUUACACAUGCAAGUCGAACGGUAACAGGUUAAGCUGACGAGUGGCGAACGGGUGAGUAAUGUAUCGGAACGUGCCCAGUCGUGGGGGAUAACCACUCGAAAGAGUGGCUAAUACCGCAUACGACCUGAGGGUGAAAGCGGGGGACCGUAAGGCCUCGCGCGAUUGGAGCGGCCGAUAUCAGAUUAGCUAGUUGGUGGGGUAAAAGCCCACCAAGGCGACGCUCUGUAGCUGGUCUGAGAGGACGACCAGCCACACUGGGACUGAGACACGGCCCAGACUCCUACGGGAGGCAGCAGUGGGGAAUUUUGGACAAUGGACGAAAGUCUGAUCCAGCCAUGCCGCGUGCGGGAAGAAGGCCUUCGGGUUGUAAACCGCUUUUGUCAGGGAGGAAAUCCCUAGUGCUAAUAACACUGGGGGAUGACAGUACCUGAAGAAUAAGCACCGGCUAACUACGUGCCAGCAGCCGCCGUAAAAC